rnacentral:lncRNA from 1 species
GGAACUUAGCUCCUUUGAGUUUCCUCUUCUCCAUCAGCAUGGCCAGGGUUAUUUAUGAACAGCUCCAGAUAUUCUAACACACUUGUUGAUGCUCUUAAGGGGAUCCUGUCCAGCUGUCCCUGCCAAAGACACUCCCAUUAUCACCAGGACCUGGGCUCCACAUGUUCCUGCUUGAGGCUUGGGUUCUCGUAUUCUUUCAUCUUCAAGAUUUGCAAACAGGAGCACAUUAAUCUUCACAACAUCCGUGUGAGCUGAGCAGCUGGUACAUCUUAUGAUCCUCUGUAUUAAUGAUGGAAAGAUGAUAAUGAUGGUGAUAAAAAUUAAGACACAUCAAACAGCGUCAGCACUAUCACAUCAAAACACCCAUGGAUUUCUCAGGUUAAAAAAAAAAAAAGAAAAGUGGAAACUGUCAAAUGUAUUCUCAUCUAUUUUACUAUUAUACCGUUGCUAAGAUCCAACUACUUUUGAAAGUCUAACACAUAAGGAGUUGAAUUAUUGCAUUGUUCAAAGGGGCAGAGAAUUCUCUUGGGAAAUCAGGCAUUUAUUUUAAUCUUUUUUUUAAAUGAAAAACACUAACGGUUGCGUCAAGAAAUGUUCUCUAGACUCCACUGGGUCUCCUGUCUGCUCUUUAUCCUAGUGUGGAGAAGAGGUGACAUUAACCUUAGGAGGGGGAAAACUGCUGGAAGAGGGGAAGGGCUCAAGCAGGCCCUUGGCAGAGGAGGGACCUUCCAGGUAAAUCAGAUGGCCACUGCCUUGUACCCGCAUUGGAGAACGAAGGACCCCAGGGGAAACUCUUCCUGCCUUUGGGUCUCAAACGCCCAUGUAGUCCCCCCUCCCCCACAAGACCGCGAACACAAAUAAAAUCAGCUUUGAUUGUGGUGAUUCAAUUUGCUCUGGAAGAGAAGAGGACUCGGCGAAGGGGCCUAAGUGCACGUUCUUAGACUGACAGGGAGCGUUUCUCGGAGAUUUCUCCCGUUUCAACAAGUCAUUUGCCUAGUGGAAGGGGGAGGAA